GGACUACAAGGGUAUCUAAUCCCAUUCGCUACCCACGCUUUCGUGUUUCAGCGUCAGAAAUGCUCCAGUCUCCUGCCUUCGCUUUUGGUGUUCCCCAUGAUAUCAACGCAUUUCACCGCUACACCAUGAGUUCCAGAGACCCCUCGCAUCCUCUAGUCCUGCCGUUUCCCUUGCAGACCCCCGGUUGAGCCGAAGAAUUUAACAAGAGACUAACAGGACCGCCUACACACCCUUUACGCCCAAUAAUUCCGGAUAACGCUUGAGGCACUCGUAUUACCGCGGCUGCUGGCAC
rnacentral:rRNA from 1 species